GCGCCGUUGGUCUAGUGGUAUGAUUCUCGCUUAGGGUUACACCCUGAAGCACUGCUUGCGAGAGGUCCCGGGUUCAAUCCCCGGAUGGCGCC
rnacentral:tRNA from 4 species